AUGCAAGUCGAGGGGUAACAGAGAAAAGCUUGCUUUUUUGCUGACGACCGGCGAACGGGUGCGUAACGCGUAUGCAAUCUACCUUUCGCCAAGGGAUAGCCCAGAGAAAUUUGGAUUAAUACCUUAUAGUAUGAUGACUUGGCAUCAAGAUAUCAUUAAAGGUUACGGCAAAAGAUGAGCAUGCGUUCUAUAGCUAGUUGGUGUGGUAACGGCAUACCAAGGCAACGAUAGAUAGGGGUCCUGAGAGGGAGAUCCCCCACACUGGUACUGAGACACGGACCAGACUCCUACGGGAGGCAGCAGUGAGGAAUAUUGGACAAUGGAGGCAACUCUGAUCCAGCCAUGCCGCGUGCAGGAAGACUGCCCUAUGGGUUGUAAACUGCUUUUAUACAGGAAGAAACACCUCUACGUGUAGAGAAUUGACGGUACUGUAAGAAUAAGGAUCGGCUAACUCCGUGCCAGCAGCC
rnacentral:rRNA from 1 species